GGAUUAGGCAUGCAAGUCGAACGAGGGAGUGUUCCGAAAGGGGCACAAACCGAGUGGCGUAAGGGUGAGUAAUGCAUUGAUAACCUACCUUUGAGACGGGGAUAACAACGUUCCGCAAGGGACUCCCGAAAGGGUUGCUAAUACCCGAUAAAACUCAUGGUGCUUCGGUAUCGGGAGUCAAAGGUUUGGGGCUGAAAGGUUCCAUAUGCUCAGAGAGGGGUCAAUGUCCUAUCAGCUAGUUGGCAGGGUAAAGGCCUACCAAGGCGAAGACGGGUAGCCGGCCUGAGAGGGUGGUCGGCCACAUUGGGACUGAGACACUGCCCAGACUCCUACGGGAGGCUGCAGUCGAGAAUCUUUCGCAAUGCCCGGAAGGGUGACGAAGCGACGCCGCGUGUGGGAAGAAGGCCUUCGGGUUGUAAACCACUGUCGGGAGUUAAGAAGUGUAAGGGGGUGAAUAGUCCUCUUACUUGACGUUAGCUCCGGAGGAAGCCACGGCUAACUCUGUGCCAGCAGCCGCGGUAAUACAGAGGUGGCAAGCGUUGUUCGGAAUUAUUGGGCGUAAAGAGCACGUAGGCGGCCCUACAAGUCAGCUGUGAAAUCCUUCUGCUCAACGGAAGAACGGCAGUUGAUACUAUAGGGCUGGAGUGCGGGAGGGGAGAGUGGAACUUCUGGUGGAGCGGUGAAAUGCGUAGAUAUCAGAAGGAACAUCGGCGGCGAAAGCGACUCUCUGGCCCGUAACUGACGCUGAGGUGCGAAAGCUAGGGGAGCAAACGGGAUUAGAUACCCCGGUAGUCCUAGCCGUAAACGAUGGGCACUCGGUAGAGGGGUUUUGAUUAUCUCUCUGCCUGAGCUAACGCGUUAAGUGCCCCGCCUGGGGAGUACGGCCGCAAGGCUAAAACUCAAAGGAAUUGACGGGGGCUCGCACAAGCGGUGGAGCAUGUGGCUUAAUUCGAUGCAACGCGAAGAACCUUACCUGGCCUUGACAUGCACAUAGUAGAAGCCUGAAAGGGUGACGAGGUAGCAAUACCAGUGUGCACAGGUGCUGCAUGGCUGUCGUCAGCUCGUGUCGUGAGAUGUUGGGUUAAGUCCCGCAACGAGCGCAACCCCUGUGUCCUGUUGCCACCCCUUAAUUGGGAGCACUCUGGACAGACUGCCUCGCUUCAACGAGGAGGAAGGUGGGGAUGACGUCAAGUCAGUAUGGCCCUUACGGCCAGGGCUGCACACGUACUACAAUGCCCGGCACAAAGGGAAGCAAGACCGUUAGGUGGAGCAAAUCCCAGAAAACCGGGCCCAGUUCAGAUUGUCGCCUGCAACUCGACGGCAUGAAGCUGGAAUCGCUAGUAAUGGCGCAUCAGCUACGGCGCCGUGAAUACGUUCCCAGGCCUUGUACACACCGCCCGU
rnacentral:rRNA from 1 species